AAAAAGUGUAGGAGACAGGAGUAUUGACAGUGAGGACCCCUUGGAGCAUGUAAUUGACGGAACAUCUAGCGAGGAGGAAGAUGCUACUCAAAACCACUUGAGUUUGGUGAACAAAGAUGAGAACCAGCAAACUAUGGCUGACCUAUUUCAAGAAGUUUUUAAUCCAACAAACAUGGAUGGUGCCAUGAAAUCAAUGAGAUCAACAGGAGCUGGUAACUAUGGAAGAAUGCAACAGAUUAUGCAGAUGGAGAAAGAUUGGCAUGUGGAAUUCUUGAGACAGUAUAGCAGAGAGCACAAUUAUUCAGGUGG